ACUACGGAAUAGCUCCGGGAAACUGGAAUUAAUACCGUAUACGCCCUCCGGGGGAAAGAUUUAUCGGUGAAAGAUCGGUCCGCGUUAGAUUAGAUAGUUGGUGGGGUAAUGGCCUACCAAGUCUACGAUCUAUAGCUGGUCUGAGAGGAUGAUCAGCCACACUGGGACUGAGACACGGCCCAGACUCCUACGGGAGGCAGCAGUGGGGAAUCUUGCACAAUGGGCGAAAGCCUGAUGCAGCCAUGCCGCGUGAAUGAUGAAGGCCUUAGGGUUGUAAAAUUCUUUCGCUAGGGACGAUAAUGACGGUACCUAGUAAAGAAGCCCCGGCUAACUUCGUGCCAGCAGCCGCGGUAAUACGAAGGGGGCUAGCGUUGUUCGGAAUUACUGGGCGUAAAGCGCGCGUAGGCGGACUAUCAAGUUGGAUGUGAAAUCCCAGGGCUCAACUCUGGAACUGCAUUCAAAACUGGUAGUCUAGAGGCCAGGAGAGGUCAGUGGAAUACCGAGUGUAGAGGUGAAAUUCGUAGAUAUUCGGUGGAACACCAGUGGCGAA
rnacentral:rRNA from 1 species